AGAUAUUUAUAAUGCAGAAUACAGCUCGUUCUCAUUUAGCACACAGCUUUAACUUCUCAGUUCAAACACACAGUCCAAGACCUGAAAGACUGGAUGAUCUAAUUUAAAAGAAACCAGAUACACAACUUAUAGCGUUAGCAGAAGUUGUGCCAACACCGGAAAUGAAACUUACUUCCUUUUCUUUUCAAAGUAAAACUAUUGCUGGUAAACGCAACCUUUUCUUACCGUGCCAACGCGUAAGCUACGGAAAUGCCUUACAUUCAGCAACAGUGAAAACAGGAGCCAUACAGUGUGCGGUUGGAUUGUUUGGGGCAGAGGGAUGCACUAAAUUCUAGCUGGUGGGAGGCUGACACCUAAAGACAAAGGGUGGCAGUAGUGUACCAUAUGUUCAGGGCGCAUCCCACAGACCUUGCAUCUCCCUAGCAGCAAAAUAUAACCAGCAAAUUGAACCUCCUUGUGUACAAGUAUAUGAGAAAAAAAAAAUCCAAAGCAGGUAAUUGCACUGAGCAGUAAUUGAGAGGUGCCAUCAUAGAUAACAGUGCAAUUAGGAAAUUCAGAAACACUGUGAUUUAAAAUGAAACUAAUCAAACUAAAAAUAGCAGAAUGGCUUAUGCUGACACAAAGAUUAGCUUCACAGCUGGAGCCAAGAGCCAAAAUAAUAUUCAGAGGUCAGAAUGGCCUGCAGGUUGUGUCCUCCAGUGGAAGAUCUGUAUUGCUCUCCUCUGCAGCAACAUUGUUAGAGAUGCUGUCAUUCUGCUGUGCGAUCUCUGAAGUCUGUGUGCACAUAAAGGAGGACAGAGAAGACUAUGACGAAUAUCCUGUCUGCUCUGAAUCCUCACUGGAGCAGACAAUGUAGGCCAUACACAAUGUGAAUAUCCUUGCAGAAAAGCAGACAGAUUAUCUCAAAGAGCAUCUUUAUGCUUAUUCGAAGUGUUUAUCUUCAAGUGCUACGUGCUGCUCAGGGAGACAUCACUAUGGUUCUUAUCGAGACAAGUGCAGUGCAAAAACAGAACAAUAAAAGGUUGUUUUGUUGUUGUAUUGUUGACAGCUGACAGAUGUUAUCAUGGGAUGGGACAAAGGUGACAGGUGAGGCAGUAGAAUGUGGAGACAGGUUACUGAAAAUGUCAGUUGCUCACUUUUUAAAAACUUUUUUUAAUGUUAAAAGUAGAUUAACUAAGAUUUUACACAUUGUCUGACAACUCAAGUGAAACAGGGCAGGAUCUGGUGUCUCAGCCGUGCUGUUAUUUCAGCUUCUCUACACUGUGUUUUCAAAGAGCAGUCCAGUUAAUUAGCCCCACCCUCUACCUUCUGAAGGUUAGAAGAAGAAUUGUUCAAACUGUGAAUAGCCAUUUCAAACAAACUGCUCUUGUUUGCUAAAACUCCAAAAUAGUGGCUGCCAGAACAAAAUGUAUUUCAAAAUGAUGCACUGAUGCAUCACUUUUCAAAUCCAGUCCACCGGCUGCUGCAAAGCUGUAGCAGAACUUCAGUGGAUUGCAAGUGGUCCUGAUUCUUUUGGCUACAGGCUUUCAUUAAAACAUACAUCAAAGAGAUUAAACUGAUAAAAGUCUAGAAGGGGGUAUAAACCGUGUCACCACCAGAAAUUAAAUUUUAUGAUCAGAUGGAUCGGAAUCAAACACAGAGCCUGGGAAAUCCCACUAUUUAUCCUCACACCAUCAUCCACUUCACACGCCGCUAAGUUAUUUAAUUUUAUGUUGCAGAUAUGUCAAGAUCAAAUAAUUGAAGUCCAACCACUGCAUAUGUUAUAAAACCUUAAAGUCCCACUCCUCUGUCAGCCUAAAGCAGUAGCUCAAGCAUAGAGUUGCUAAUCUUCUUGAAAAAGGUGUUUUCUUUCGACCAAGGCUGAACAUUCAGAGAGAUAAAUGACUCUGAACUUGUGCAGAACAGUAUAUUAGGGCAUUUGGGUUGUAGAAGUUUCACCAGAAGGAAGGGAGAAGGGUAAAACACAGUAGACACUGAAGAGAAAGUAAUUCCUGAUUAAUGUCUGGUGGAGGAUCUUCUGGUGUUUCAAUUGCUUUGAGCAAAUUGGAAACUUUAAAUGAGGCUCUCAAAAGAGGCACAGAAAAAGUUGCAUACUGUACAAAAUUUUUUUUGGAACCUUAUCAGAGCUACUUAAUAUUCCACAGUUUCACCUGAGUUUCAAACAAAAAAGGGCAAAAAUGUAAAUCUGAAUCCCACUCUUAGAUUCUGACUUUCUUAAAAUGUAACAAUAAAGGACCAUAACCCUGAUUAUGCAUGUUAUAGCCUAUAUUAACUACAGACCACAUAUAUUUUCCAUAACUGUAGACCCCUUUCCAUUGUAAACCAAACCCCUAUCUUCCUCACUGCAAUGGUUAAUUAGAAUUCUCUCUAUAAUAUAAGUUAACAUCUCCUAAAGCUGAGCAGACACUGUACACUGUAUAUGAUCAGUACAUGUUGUACAGUGUCUGUUCAGCUUUAGAGAGACCAACUUACA